UAGGCUUAUAAGUACAUUUACCAGCUUCCAUACUCUACGCCAAUCCGUAUGGCACCUGCUACCACACUUACCAAGAACUCAUAUUAACUCGAUUGAAUGACAUGGCAUAUAUUUUAUACUAAUGAUCAUAAUGAUACUGUUAAAUAUCAAGAAUUGAAAAACAUAACUUUAGAGCUCGAGAUAGGAUCGGAAUAAAACUCAAAAGGGCUAUAUAAGGUAUGUAGCUGAACAUACUUAUAAAAACUUCAGGGUGUGUUGUAAUUUAUGGAGUGACCAGGAGUUAUGAAUCGCCACCGGUUCAACUACUUGGCACUGUUCAUGGAGUGACAAAAACAGUAGCGGUAUAUA
rnacentral:lncRNA from 1 species